CUUCACCAUGGAUGCACUGGUGGGUAAGGAGGGAGACCUUGUACUCACCCCUGAGUGAGACAGAAAGCCAGUGGAGUGAUUUGAGGAUGGGGGAGAUGUGCUCAUGUUUGCUCACCCUCAACAGGAUCCUAGCAGCGCUGUUCUGUAUAUACUGCAAUUUCUGGAGGCUUUUCUCAGGGAUCCCGAUGAGGAGCGCAUUGCAAUAGUCCAGCCUGGAGGAGACAAAAGCGUGGACAAGCUUUUCCGCAUCUGCAGGAGUGAGUGUGGGACGGAGUUUGGCGAUGGCGAGGUGGAAGAAGGAGGUCUUGCAGAGAUGUUUGAUGUGAGCCUCAAAGGUCAGAUGGGAGUCCAAUUUAACACCUAGGUUGGUGACUGAUGUUGAAAGUGGAAUAUUUUGGCCGGAGAAGGUGAUGCUGGUAAUGUCAGAUGACCGAACCUGGUGUGGGGUGCCGACUAAGAGCUGUUUAGCUGCAGAAAGUUUUGCUUCAUCCACGGCUUUAUCUCCUCCAGGCAGGUGGUCAGAGUGGAUGAUGGCAGGGCAGCAGAGGGGGUUGUGUUUGUCCUGAGGUAGAGUUGAGUGUCAUCAGCAUAACAGUGGAAUGAAAUUCCAUGCCGGCUGAUGACAUGGCCAAGGGGGAGCAUGUAGAUAAUGAACAGGGUGGGGCCGAGCACUGAGCUUUGAGGGACACCACAGGUGACAUUGUGUGUCAGGGAUUUAGCCGCUCCCAAGGCGACAUGCUCAGUUCUCCCGGUGAGGUAGGAUGAGAACCACUGAUGGACGAGGUCAGAAAGACCGAUAGUGGAAUGUAGACGGUGGAGGAGGAUGUUGUGGUCCACAGUAUCACGCUGCAGUCAAGUCCAGGAGAAUGAGAAGAGAUAGGGAGCCAGCGUCUGCAGUCAUCAGUAGGUCAUUUGUGACCAUGACCAGGGCUGUUUCUGUGCUGUGGCCAGGGCGGAAACCAGAUUGAAAUUUCUCGAACAGGUUGUUUUGUUUUAGAUGGUCCUGAAGCUGUGCGGCAACUACUUUUUCCAGCACCUUGGAAAGGAAUGGAAGGUUGGAGAUGGGCCUGUAGUUGGCAAAGACUUCUGGGUCUUGGGUGGGUUUUUUGAGAAAUGGCCUGAUGACAGCGGUCUUCAGUGUUGAUGGAACAUGGCCAGACCGAGGGAGUGGUUAAUGACCUUUGUGAUGAGGGGACUUAUGGCAUGGAGGUUGGAUUUUACCAGGGCUGUGGGGAAGGGGUCCAGGGCACAGGUGGAUGGUUUCAUCUUUUUGAUGAUGUCCUCAACUUCUCGCUGUGAGAUGGCAAAAAAACAGCUGAGAGGUUGGGAAAUCCCAGGCUGUGGGUCAGCAGUCGGGACAGGCAGUGUGGAGAAACUGGAUGGCAGGGAGCGGAUGGUGUCUACUUUUUUUCUGAAAAAAGGUGAUGAAGUUGUUGCACCUCUCAUCUAUGGCUUCUGAAUGAGAGUGAGUUUGCGGUUUAAGGAUGUAAUUUAUGGUAGAAAAAAGUUGCUUGGAGUUGCCAGGGCUGUUAUUGAUAAUGUUGGAAUAGAACUGUGAACGUGCAUCUCUCAAGGACCUUGAAUAGGACUUCUGAUGUUCUCGGUAGGCCUGUCUAUGAACAGAGAGUCCUGAGGCCUUGAGGCGCCGCCCAAGGACACGCCCAGCUAAUUUCAUUUGCCGGAGUACGUAGGUGUACCAGGGGGCUGAGCGGAAGAAGCUGACAGUUCUAGUUUUGACAGGGGCGUGGAGAUCUAAGAGACUGCUCAGUGAUUGGUUGUAGAAGGCAACCGACUCAGUGCAUGAGAAGAAAUCAGCAGAAGAGAGAUGUUGGAGGUCUAUGGCAAAAGUGUGUAUCCGGGUUGAUCUUUUCCAGGUCCCUAUAGCAGAUUUGACGCUUGUCUUUGGUGUGUGGGGAAAGGAGUGGCAGCUCCAUUGAGAUGAUCUUGGCCAGAUCAUUCGCCAGAAGGUUGCUAAUAGGGGUGGAGUUGGAAAUGACCAGGUCCAGUGUGUGCCCCCUGGAGUGUGUGGGGACAUCGACGUGUUGUUGGAGGUUGAGGCAGUCCAGUAAAUUCAGCUGCAAAGUGGCAGGAGGGGUUGUCUACAUGCAUAUUAAUAUCUCCAAGUAUAAUAAUGUUGGCAGAGGUGGUGCAGAGUGUUGUGAGAAGGUCAUGUAUCUCUGAGAUGAAAGCUGAGUUGGGUUUGGGGGGCCGGUAGACGAGGAGCAUUGUCAUGGGGAAGGGGGUUUACAUUUGAAUGCUAGGCAUUCAAAUGAGGACAGUGUAGGCAGGGGGAGAGGAGACAGUUCCAAGAUCUGUCGGUGGAUGACAGCUAGGCCGCCACCACGACCAGUGCUGCGGGCUCUCUCCAGAUAGCUGUAACCGGGGGGGACAGACUUCAUUAAGUGCUGAGUAAAUCCCUGGCUGGUGCCAUGUUUCUGUCCGGCACAUGAAGUCUAAUCCCUUGUCCAUGAUGUGAUCUUGCAUGAAGGAUGCUUUAUUUGUGAGGAAUUGCGUGUUGAAAAGUUAUAUUUUGAGUGUUGAUGCUGUGGUGGAUCUCUGUAGAGGCCGUAGUACACUGUAAUCCACUACAUGUUUUCUGGCUUGCUUGGUGUAGCGAGAUCUCGCGGUGUUUCCCAAGCUGCUCAAUCGAGUGUGCAGAGAUCUCGCGAUGUUUCCCGUGUUGCUAGCACCGAGAGCGACACUGCUCUGAUGACGCGGCAGACGUGCGACAGUAGUCCAGAUGGAUGGAAUGUUUGAAGCAGGCUGGCCAGGCUGAUGGUAAACAAACUUUUGACGGGAACCUCUGUGGAUGUAACGUGGACGACGAUGAAUUCCAAGUUCUUUGAUGGCUGCAAUGCACUUUGGAAUGGAGCGGUUGUUGAAAGUUAGCAGCUGUGGGAUAGAGUACUUGAGCUUCAUGCCGG
ensembl:lncRNA